rnacentral:rRNA from 1 species
GAUUGAACGCUGGCGGCAGGCCUAACACAUGCAAGUCGAACGGUAACAGGAAACAGCUUGCUGUUUCGCUGACGAGUGGCGGACGGGUGAGUAAUGUCUGGGAAACUGCCUGAUGGAGGGGGAUAACUACUGGAAACGGUAGCUAAUACCGCAUAACGUCGCAAGACCAAAGAGGGGGACCCUCGGGCCUCUUGCCAUCGGAUGUGCCCAGAUGGGAUUAGCUUGUUGGUGGGGUAACGGCUCACCAAGGCGACGAUCCCUAGCUGGUCUGAGAGGAUGACCAGCCACACUGGAACUGAGACACGGUCCAGACUCCUACGGGAGGCAGCAGUGGGGAAUAUUGCACAAUGGGCGCAAGCCUGAUGCAGCCAUGCCGCGUGUAUGAAGAAGGCCUUCGGGUUGUAAAGUACUUUCAGCGGGGAGGAAGGGAGUAAAGUUAAUACCUUUGCUCAUUGACGUUACCCGCAGAAGAAGCACCGGCUAACUCCGUG